GCGUGCUCUGCGAGUUCUCACUUCAUAGUGUGACACCCGGGAGGUAAUGUUUAUCCGUUCUCAUUUUGGAGAGGAGGAAAUAGACUCAGAAAGGUUAAGUAACUUGCCCAAGGUCACAGAGACCGGGCAUAGCAGAGCCUAGUGAUUCAAACAGAGGCGUUGAAAGUGCUGAAGGCCAGCUAAGGGUAGUCAUCACCAACACGGGAGAACAAGGAUUAGGAAACCACAAUCUGGGACCAGGUAGUGGCGCAGUGGCGAUGCACCUAAACCCUCAUGGGAAGGAUCCUAGGUUCAAGACUCAAGAGCUCCCUGGUGGCCUGUUUCGUUUAAUUCUUUGUCCCAAACACCAAGAACCUGGAUGUGGUUGCAGAAGUCAUCCCACAGCAAGUUAUGGAGCCAAGCCAGAAGGCCCCACUACAGUCCAGGAAGAAGAUAAGAUGAUGGUUUCAUGGCUCAAAGCUUCUAGACGAAGAAUCUCCUGGCCUUGGUACCCACUCCAAAAUUAGGAGAAUAACUGGACCCAUUCUGCACAUGCCUCCCUCC